GGGUCCUACGAAUCCCAGGCUUGCCCUGAGCUCGGUAAGGAGCCAGGCUGAGUGAGCCUGAACUCCCAAUCUUCAUGGCUCCACCUCCCCUGUUGCUGGGUUUAAGGCCUGCGCUACCCAGUCCCGUUCCCGGUUUUCCCCUUUAAUUUAACAUUGCAUCGAGAUGAAAGUUUCAGUUUCACACCGGCGGAGCGCCAGCGCUCGAGUCCGAGUCAGGCCGAAACGAUGAGACAGGAUCCCGCUCCACCAUAAACCCGGUGCCUGAGGCAGCGCCAGACUUCUAAAUCGUCAUCCAGGCUGUUUGCACCACCUGGACCGAUUCCUUUCCUCAGUUCACCUGGAGAACUUUUAGAACGCAUUAGAGCCACCUGAAUGGCGCCCUCAGCGCACGGGGGCCAGAGUACUUUAGACUCUGAGGACAGAGACCAGAGAGACACCUGGUCUGCUGUGGAAUGCCUGGGGUGAAUGUCACCUCUGGAAAACGUGCCUUCUGGCUUUCCUUAAUCUAGUCAUUCUGCGUUCAUCCCAGGUUAGGGUGAUGAGUGAGUUCAUCAAAAAGGCCAAAUGCGGGGACUACACCGACAAUUAUCUUGCAUCCUCUGUGCCUGGUGUGGAUCAGAGAGCUUCAACAAACUGGAAUGAUAUGUGAAAAUACGAUGCAACUUGCAACUUUACCGCCACCUCCUCAUUCGAUCCAAUGAAAGUUGUUACAGUCUCUGAAAGGGAUGCUGUCCCAGCAAUUAGUUCCAGCAAUGCUCUGAAAUGCAACUGUUUUAAUUAAGUUCACAGUUUGACAAUGAUCUUAAAAGACCCUUAACCUCCCCUGACUUAGUGACACAUGCAUGGCUCUCAGGAGGCUCAGGCAGGAGGACUGAGGGUUUGAGGACAGUCUGGAUAGAUUGCAAGAACUGCUUCCAAAAAAAAAAAAAAAAAAAGAAUACGGACCGUCAAGAUGACUCAGCAGGUAAAAGCACUUGCCUUGUAAGACUGACAGCCUGGAUUUGAUUUUGGAGGAACUCACUUAAAGGCCAAAGGAGAAAACCAACUCAAUAAAGUUGUCCUCUGACUUCCACAUGA